GUGCUUCACAUUUUUGGUAACUAAGUAGUAAAGGAGACAUUAGCACAUGUUAGGUCACAUGCUCUCAAGGCUCCACAUGUACAUCCAACUGUG